AACGCUAGCUACAGGCUUAACACAUGCAAGUCGAGGGGCAGCAUUUUAGUUUGCUUGCAAACUGAAGAUGGCGACCGGCGCACGGGUGAGUAACACGUAUCCAACCUGCCGAUAACUCCGGGAUAGCCUUUCGAAAGAAAGAUUAAUACCGGAUAGCAUACGAAUAUCGCAUGAUAUUUUUAUUAAAGAAUUUCGGUUAUCGAUGGGGAUGCGUUCCAUUAGUUUGUUGGCGGGGUAACGGCCCACCAAGACUACGAUGGAUAGGGGUUCUGAGAGGAAGGUCCCCCACAUUGGAACUGAGACACGGUCCAAACUCCUACGGGAGGCAGCAGUGAGGAAUAUUGGUCAAUGGGCGCGAGCCUGAACCAGCCAAGUAGCGUGAAGGAUGAAGGCUCUAUGGGUCGUAAACUUCUUUUAUAUGGGAAUAAAGUUUUCCACGUGUGGAAUUUUGUAUGUACCAUAUGAAUAAGGAUCGGCUAACUCCGUGCCAGCAGCCGCGGUAAUACGGAGGAUCCGAGCGUUAUCCGGAUUUAUUGGGUUUAAAGGGAGCGUAGGUGGAUUGUUAAGUCAGUUGUGAAAGUUUGCGGCUCAACCGUAAAAUUGCAGUUGAAACUGGCAGUCUUGAGUACAGUAGAGGUGGGCGGAAUUCGUGGUGUAGCGGUGAAAUGCUUAGAUAUCACGAAGAACUCCGAUUGCGAAGGCAGCUCACUAGACUGUCACUGACACUGAUGCUCGAAAGUGUGGGUAUCAAACAGGAUUAGAUACCCUGGUAGUCCACACAGUAAACGAUGAAUACUCGCUGUUUGCGAUAUACAGUAAGCGGCCAAGCGAAAGCAUUAAGUAUUCCACCUGGGGAGUACGCCGGCAACGGUGAAACUCAAAGGAAUUGACGGGGGCCCGCACAAGCGGAGGAACAUGUGGUUUAAUUCGAUGAUACGCGAGGAACCUUACCCGGGCUUAAAUUGCAACAGAAUAUAUUGGAAACAGUAUAGCCGUAAGGCUGUUGUGAAGGUGCUGCAUGGUUGUCGUCAGCUCGUGCCGUGAGGUGUCGGCUUAAGUGCCAUAACGAGCGCAACCCUUAUCUUUAGUUACUAACAGGUCAUGCUGAGGACUCUAGAGAGACUGCCGUCGUAAGAUGUGAGGAAGGUGGGGAUGACGUCAAAUCAGCACGGCCCUUACGUCCGGGGCUACACACGUGUUACAAUGGGGGGUACAGAAGGCGGCUACCUGGUGACAGGAUGCUAAUCCCAAAAACCUCUCUCAGUUCGGAUCGAAGUCUGCAACCCGACUUCGUGAAGCUGGAUUCGCUAGUAAUCGCGCAUCAGCCAUGGCGCGGUGAAUACGUUCCCGGGCCUUGUACACACCGCCCGUCAAGCCAUGAAAGCCGGGGGUACCUGAAGUACGUAACCGCAAGGAGCGUCCUAGGGUAAAACUGGUAAUUGG
rnacentral:rRNA from 1 species